UGCUUUGAUGCCUAAAAUACUCUUUUCUUGAUCUCAAUCUCCUUCUGUAGCAUAAAAGUGCUUCUCUUCUUCCCUUCUCUCCCAUACUAUGCCACGUGAAUGUCUAGAAGCUUCCAGGAAUUAAAGAGUCAGCCCAAAGCCUGGACUCUCCAGAGCUGCAAUCAACCCUUAAUCCUGCAGAGCUGCAUUACCUCUGAUACGGAUCACCCAGUCCCUUCCUUCUGCUCCUCUUUCCAGUCAUUCAUUCGAUGACUCCACAAAUAUCUGGAGUGUUCCUACUGCGUGCCAGCUGAUUGAUUCUACUAGAGAUGGAGCCACCACUAACCAUGAAAAAUUUAUAAACUUUCCUCACGACUUUGUCACAUGGAAGCUUCUGGUCGCCCUCAGUUUGGAACACUCAGAGGCUUGCAGAGCAAGCUGUUUUCAUGGUCGAGCGUUUCACACAGCCUGGUUGAGGUCAGAACCACAUUCCUGGGAACAUUGCCCCUGCUGAACUAUGAAAUUUCCUGAUUAAGGAAAUGAGAGGAAAUAAGGCAUUAACUAGCACCUACGCACAGCACACAAACUUGAGGAGUUCUUUUUUUCUUUCUUCAGGAGAAUUAAAAACAGAAGAUGCUGCUGUUACAAUUCUCUGAAAUAAGACGACAAAACCAAGGAUGAACAUUUAACAGCUGUUUUGGAAUGGAUUCUGGGAAUAAACAAAAAGCUGCCUAUGGUUUCGCCA
rnacentral:lncRNA from 12 species